rnacentral:rRNA from 1 species
GAUGAACGCUGGCGGCGUGCCUAAUACAUGCAAGUCGAGCGGAUGGAUUAAGAGCUUGCUCUUAUGAAGUUAGCGGCGGACGGGUGAGUAACACGUGGGUAACCUGCCCAUAAGACUGGGAUAACUCCGGGAAACCGGGGCUAAUACCGGAUAAUAUCUUGAACUGCAUGGUUCAAAAUUGAAAGGCGGCUUCGGCUGUCACUUAUGGAUGGACCCGCGUCGCAUUAGCUAGUUGGUGAGGUAACGGCUCACAAAGGCAACGAUGCGUAGCCGACCUGAGAGGGUGAUCGGCCACACUGGGACUGAGACACGGCCCAGACUCCUACGGGAGGCAGCAGUAGGGAAUCUUCCGCAAUGGACGAAAGUCUGACGGAGCAACGCCGCGUGAGUGAUGAAGGCUUUCGGGUCGUAAAACUCUGUUGUUAGGGAAGAACAAGUGCUAGUUGAAUAAGCUGGCACCUUGACGGUACCUAACCAGAAAGCCACGGCUAACUACGUGCCAGCAGCCGCAGUAA